rnacentral:rRNA from 1 species
CAGCAGCCGCGGGAAAACGGAGGGGGCUAGCGUUGUUCGGAAUUACUGGGCGUAAAGCGCACGUAGGCGGCUCGGUAAGUUAGAGGUGAAAGCCUGGAGCUCAACUCCAGAAUUGCCUUUAAGACUGUCGAGCUAGCAGGUGAGAGAGGUAAGUGGAAUUCCGAGUGUAGAGGUGAAAUUCGUAGAUAUUCGGAAGAACACCAGUGGCGAAGGCGGCCAUCUGGGACAACACUGACUCUGAGGCACGAAAGCGUGGGGAGCAAACAGGAUUAGAUACCCCUGUAGUCCCUGUCUCUUAUAA